AUACUUGUUUGGCGUUGGGGAUACCGUGAUCAUACAGGCGGUUCCCCCAGGGCGAGGCUGCUCCAUUGCACUGUAGAAUGGUAGACCCUUGCGAUUGUUUUUAUUUUUAUCAAUAAAAAAAUCUAAUAAAAAUGUAUACC
rnacentral:snRNA from 9 species